CGGCUGUAGCUAAAUUGAUGAAAGAAGUUUACUGGCCGUUUAUUGUGAGGUUUUUAUAAAUCUCAGUCGAUAGAUCUGCUUACCGAACUUCUCACAAAA
rnacentral:snoRNA from 1 species